rnacentral:lncRNA from 1 species
CCAUGGACCAGUGCCCCAUACCUACCUUGCUGGAACAUGGCAACUUCUCUCAUGUCCUGUUUAAAAAUGUGGAGAAGUUCUAUGUUCCUAGAGGUGAUAUCAUGUGCUAUUAUACCCUCACUGAAAAGUUUAUCCCUUGACCCAAGGACUGGAUCGGCAUCUUUAAAGUAGAGUGGAAGACCACUCAGGAGUAUUAUACCUUCAUGUGGGCUCUCUUGCCAAAAGACAAAAACACAGCAGGAAAUCCAAUUCAAAGCUUAUUACCUUCCCAAGGAUGUGGAGUGCUACCAGUUCUGCUAUGUGGAUGAAGAUGGUUUAGUCUGGGGAACAAGUGUCCCUUUCCAGUUCUGUCCAGACUCUGACAAGGACAUAAUGGUUGUUAUCAAUAAGGAAAGGGUAGAAGAGAUGGAACAGCUCAGUGAGGAGCUUUACCAAGAAAACCAGGAGCUGAAAGACAAGUACACUGACCUCCAUGAGCAGCUACAGAGGAAGCAGGUGGCACUGGAAGCAACACAGAGGGUCAAUAAGACCUUAGAACAGGAAGUGGAAGAGAAGGCCUCUUGGGAGGAAGAGAAGGCCUCCUGGGAGGAAGAGAAGGCCUCCUGGGAGAAAGAAGCGGCCUCCUGGGAGGAAGAGAAGGCCUCUUAGGAGGAAGAGAAGGCCUCUUGGGAGAAAGAGAAGGCCUCUUGGGAGGAAGAGAAGGCCUCUUGGGAGGAAGAGAAGGCCUCCUGGGAGGAAGAGAAGGCCUCUUGGGAGGAAGAGAACGCCUCUUAGGAGGAAGAGAAGGCCUCUUGGGAGGAAGAGAAGGCCUCCUGGGAGGAAGAGAAGGCCUCCUGGAAGGAAGAGAAGGCCUCCUGGGAGGAAGAGAAGGCCUCUUGGGAGGAAGAGAAGGCCUCCUGGGAGGAAGAGAAGCCCUCUUGGGAGAGUGAGCUGCGCCGGCUGAAAGAAUGCAACCAGAAGAUGAUCUCGGAAAAGAAGGCCUUAGGGAUCAGAGUAG